rnacentral:rRNA from 1 species
GAUGAACGCUAGCUACAGGCUUAACACAUGCAAGUCGAGGGGAAACGACAUUGGAAGCUUGCUUCCGAUGGGCGUCGACCGGCGCACGGGUGAGUAACGCGUAUCCAACCUGCCCACCACUUGGGGAUAACCUUGCGAAAGUAAGACUAAUACCCAAUGACGUCCAUAGAAGACAUCUGAAGUGGAUUAAAGAUUUAUCGGUGAUGGAUGGGGAUGCGUCUGAUUAGCUUGUUGGCGGGGUAACGGCCCACCAAGGCAACGAUCAGUAGGGGUUCUGAGAGGAAGGUCCCCCACAUUGGAACUGAGACACGGUCCAAACUCCUACGGGAGGCAGCAGUGAGGAAUAUUGGUCAAUGGGCGCGAGCCUGACCCAGCGACGCCGCGUGAGGGAAGAAGGCC